CUACAAUGGCGUAAACAAAGGGAGGCGAAGGAGCAAUCCGGAGCGAACCCCAAAAAUAACGUCUCAGUUCGGACUGUGGUCUGCAACCCGACCACACGAAGCUGGAAUCGCUAGUAAUCGCGAAUCAGAAUGUCGCGGUGAAUACGUUCCCGGGUCUUGUACACACCGCCCGUCACACCAUGGGAGUCGGGAAUGCCCGAAGCCGGUGGCCCAAUCGAAAGAAGGGAGCCGUCGAAGGCAGGCCGGAUGACUGGGGUGAAGUCGUAACAAGGUAAC
rnacentral:rRNA from 1 species